rnacentral:lncRNA from 1 species
UAGUUCUGCUCGAUGUUCCGGGCUGCUCCGUGAUGUGUGUCGUCUCAUCACCUAUAAUUCGUGUUUUGCUUUCCAAGGGGGGUUUUGUUUGCAAAGGAGGGGCGUGCCCAUGGGUGGCCCUGUUGCCGGCCUUGUGGCGGAGCUUGUGGUCCGAUGUAGAGAAUCGACAGUCUUGGACUUGUUUUCGUCAGACUUUCGUCUGUGUGCUGGAUGCGUUGGCGAUAUAUGUGUGAUAUGGACCUCGGAGGACUGUACGGACGAUGUUGGUCAUGAGCUGAGUGAUCGAACUUUGGGCCUGUCCACUAGAAUAGAGCAAGUCUCUGCCCAUGGAUUCCA